AGAGCCGAGCGGGGCGGGAACGGGAACGGGAGCGGGGCGGGCACCGCUACCGGCAGGGAGGGGGCGGCUCCGGCUCCGCCCGGCCCCGCUCCCGGAGGGGGUGCGAGUCCGCAGCGGGGGCAGCCGUGGGCAUCUCUGGCCAGCUCCGGGGAAAGGCGCAGUGAACACCCCGUUCGAUUUUUGGCGGUGGCAGGAGGAGAAGGAGCCGGGAGAAGAAGAAGAAGGAUGCGACAAUCCGCGGCCGAGCGCUCCCAGGCGCUGCAGGGAUGCUCCUGGGUACCAGCACCCCGAUUUGUGCGGGGUGACAGCGGGGAUGAGCGGCAGGGCACAGCCCCCCGCACCUGCCCGUCCCACUCCUCCACCGCUCCGGGCCGGCUGAAGCAGCAGGAAAGGAAAAUGCGCUGCCAGGCUCUGCCUCUGGCACUAGAUGCUGCUAACAGAGCAACGUCGUUCUAAUUAUAGUAGCGGUGUCAGUGAGAAAAACAGCGAGAAAAACACGCGCGUCAAAAGGUCUAGAGCUAUGUGAUUUGCCGCUGGCAAAACUCACUAAAAACCACACCAGAAUGAA